rnacentral:rRNA from 1 species
UACGAAGGGGGCUAGCGUUGCUCGGAAUCACUGGGCGUAAAGGGUGCGUAGGCGGGUCUUUAAGUCAGAGGUGAAAUCCUGGAGCUCAACUCCAGAACUGCCUUUGAUACUGAGGAUCUUGAGUUCGGGAGAGGUGAGUGGAGCUGCGAGUGUAGAGGUGAAAUUCGUAGAUAUUCGCAAGAACACCAGUGGCGAAGGCGGCUCACUGGCCCGAUACUGACGCUGAGGCACGAAAGCGUGGGGAGCAAACAGG